rnacentral:tRNA from 1 species
CAUCAGAUGACUGAAAGUAAGUAGUGGUCUCUUAAACCAUUUAAUAGUAAUUAACAACUACUUCUGAUGA